rnacentral:lncRNA from 1 species
UUUCUCUUUAGUGAGAAAUGAGUGGAGAAUGAGAAUAAACUUGAAGAAUCUGAUGCCUAGAAGGCUGCUGUAAGGAACGGAAAUUUGAACAAUUUUUCCUUUCAAGUUAACAUUAAACUUUUAGAGAACCAAAAUGGCAGAAUAGCAAUCACCAGCAAAAUUCAGCCUCUCCAAACCCAGAAUCCAGACA